GUGGUCUCUUAACAUUUUUUUUUUCUUCCCAGGAACAUUGUAGGGGCAGAGAUCAUCAUAGAUCAUUGAUGGACCUGUGAAUUGGAAAACAAAACCUUCCUGAAAACCAACAAUGAUGAAAAGACAAUAAAAUGACCACAGCAAUCUUCACCUGAUCACAUGAAGGUCGCUGCCCCAACAAAAGUCAACUAGAGGAAAGAACUGUAUGGUUGAUGAAUAUGAUUUUGGAGUCCGGGGAGUCAGCCAAGAAAAGGUAGCCAGAAGCAGUGAGUGGAAACCAGAGGCAGUGAGUGCAAACCUGAGGCAGAAAGUGGAAAGUAUCAAAGGAAUCCUGUGGAAAGCUACCUGAACACAGAGAGUAGUCGUCAACAGAGUAAAGUCCGAGGCAGCUACGGUGAAAAGCUCUGUUCCACAAGGCACAGUACUCGCUCCCAUCUUGUUCCUCAUCCUCAUAUCCGACAUAGACAAGGAUGUCAGCCACAGCACCGUGUCUUCCUUUGGAGAUGACACCCGAAUCUGCAUGACAGUGUCUUUCAUUGCAGACACUGCAAGGCUCCAGGCGGACAUCAACCGAAUCUUUCAGUGGGCUGCAGAAAACAAUGUGAAGUUCAACGAUGAGAAAUUUCAAUUACUCAGAUAUGGUAAACACGAGGAAAUUAAAUCUUCAUCAGAGUACAAAACAAAUUCUGGCCACAAAAUAGAGCGAAACACCAACGUCAAAGACCUGGGAGUGAUCAUGUCGGAGGAUCUCACCUUCAAAGACCAUAACAUUGUAUCAAUCGCAUCUGCUAGAAA